GUAAUUCCAGCUCCAAUAGCGUAUAUUAAAGUUGUUGCAGUUAAAAAGCUCGUAGUUGAAUUUCGGGGUCAGUAGGUUGGUCGUGCCACAGGUAUGAACUGGUCUCACUGAUUCCUCCUUCCUGAUGGACCGUAAUGCCAUUAAUUUGGUGUUGCGGGGAGACUGGACUGUUACUUUGAAAAAAUUAGAGUGUUUAAAGCAGGC
rnacentral:rRNA from 1 species